CUGUUUCAACCAUAUCCUUUCAAACCAGAUCAGUGAGGUCAUGACCAGAAAACAAGCCCUGCCAGCCUCCUACCUCAAAUCUAAUUAAUUAUAAUUUUCUUCCUUAUGACAACCCACACAAAAGACAGAGAUAAGAAAAACAAGGACUUCCUGGGAGGCUGUGGAUCAAUUACCAAUGGACACCCAGAAGCAAAUUCACAAGACUCACAAUUCAAAGAACCAAUUUUUUACAAUUUUUUUUUUCCUGUCAGUUGAAUUUGGGAAGGAAGGAACACGCAAAAAUUUUUACCUUCUUCUUUCAAUUGGACACUAUGGACGGAAAUCCAGGAGAGCUGACCUUGCCUUCUUCCCUCUACAUACAGGAACUGCAGACACUGCAGAUAAAACAGAGCCAGAAUGCUUUGCUGCCAGCUGGACCUUUGACCCAAACCCCAGUGUGACUGUCUCCGGUGCUCACUCAACUGCAGUGCAUCAAUGAAGGAAAAAAGAACUGAGCAUUGGCAAAAAGCUGAGGAUGACAAGCUUAGGGGAUGAAAGGCUGCCUUUUCCCCCCCUUCUGAGCGUUUCUGACAGCUCCCAGCUGGGAGAAACCAACAUGACGAAAAGACAAAGAAUACUGGAGAAGAGAGAGGGUGGGCAGAGCCACAACCUCAUCCUCCCAGUGGUUCCUCUUGAGUUUGAUUUGACAAGAUGCCUUCCCACCCAGGUAACCCCGUGGGAACGUGCCAGUACCUCACCGCACGACCUCACUGAGUCCUCACAACAAAUCCAGGCUGCAGAUUUUUUUCCCCACUUGGAGAUGACAAAUUGAAAUGCAGGAAGGUUAAAGAGUUUGCCUGAGGUUGCUUAGAUAAUAAAAGAAUCUGGAUUAGAACCCAGACCUACCCAGCUAAAAAAAAAAAAAAAAAA
rnacentral:lncRNA from 1 species